rnacentral:lncRNA from 1 species
GUACAGCUGGGAAGGACAGCAGUUCUGCAGUGGUCAGUCAGUGUCAGGUACAGCUGGGAAGGACAGCAGUUCUGCAGUGGUCAGUCAGUGUCAGGUACAGCUGGGAAGGACAGCAGUUCUGCAGUGGUCAGUCAGUGUCAGGUACAGCUGAGAAGGACAGCAGUUCUGCAGUGGUCAGUCAGUGAGCCAAGAUGAAGCUAAAGAAAGGAGCUGUUUUACAGUUUUUUUCAAUUGCUAAAAAGCAUUGGUCAACUGAAGCCACUUUUUCUAAACUCUUCACACAGUCUGCAUUACCAACAUGCACCUUGGCCAAACAGUUAAUCUCACCUCCAAAACUCACUCAAACCACCAAAACACUUCAUACAUGUUCCAAAAUAAACUCGUUCGACCAUAACACUGGCAACAAUUCUCACUCAGAAAGCAUACAUUGUCUCUCAUAACACACUGACCUAAAAAACACUAACAACAGGGAGCAU